AGCAUCCCGUGCCUUGGGCCGCCAUUUUUCAUUUUCCCGCCUGCUUCGCUGUGUCUCCUGUCGUCUGCUCUCUUGCGUCGUACCGUAACCCGCGGUCCCGCUGCUCGUAAUUACUCGCCAACACCGGCAGCGCUUGACGACGUUGCACGCUGCGCGUGUACCCGCCUCGGGCCGACUCUGGAAGAACUGGCUUCGUUCCCCCGAGCCUGCAAAAAUGUGAGCCACGCUUCGAGAGACUUGGUGCCCGGCCCGCCUGCCGACACCGCAGCAGCCGACGUCGACUACCGGCUGCUGCCAGAGACUGCUCGUUGCUCGACCCGUGAAAGAGCGGUGACUGCGGACAGUUCUUCGUGCCUGCAGUCGAGGACUCGCUUUUCUUUGUGCGCUUGUCCACUCUUCGGCGACUACUGGACUAUGAACUGUGGAUCUGGAACGCGGACCGUGGCCACUAACCGAGGACCUGCGCAGCAACCCCUCGUCACAGCGAGCGUCGUCUCUGCGAGACUUCCACGCGUCGAGCGUCUUAAACGCUCACCAAGUAGGUGCCACAGGUGGUGCCCAAGCUGGCGAGGGUGGCGCACGCCUUAGAGUAGUUAACUGUUUGUUCAGUUAGACUAAUUAGCGCUCGCUACAUUGUUCCUUGCAUUUGAAAAUUGCGUAGUUACUUUUGUUGCUCAGCUGUAAGCCCGAGGUUUCGUGGGCAUGGCUUGCGGCCACACGGGUCUUCUCCGUGCCGGAAUCGAGGAGGACGGGCCACGUGUGUGCGGGGUGGCGGCGCGUAUAGCUUCAGGUGUAGCUGACACAAGGCUUAGCUCACACUAGGCAGGCUAGCUGAUAGCCGUCCUCUUUCGGCUUCGUCAGGGACACGGACCCAUCCGAUUUGCGUUGCGACCCGACCCCACUGUUUCGGGACAAGGUAGCCCGGGCGCGUCAGUGCUAUCGAGCGAAACGUGGAAUCUCGGGAAGCAAACGGCAUUCGGAAAUUGCCUCGCCAGCUUUUUAGCUGCUACUAAUACUGUUACUGCAGCACUCGACGCCGGACGUCGUCGCCUGCCGUGUUCAUCGGAGCUCGGCCCGGGCAGCAGCUACAAGCACCACUCGCUACGUGGUCUACCGUGUUCCCUCGCCGGUGGGCGUGUUCCUUGCCGGCGAGACCAUGGCUGUCGCUUUGCACUACUACGGGAUCCCGACGUCCGCUUUCGAGAUUGCGGACCACGAGUAUGGAAGGAUAUCCAGCGUGCUGCUCCACGUUUGCCGUCCUCCCAACGUCACCCCAGGAGACGGCCUUGAGCACGGCUCGUAUACCGUGGAUGACCGCGUUGGCUCCAUUGCAGUUGCACACCCACGACGUCCUACUCGCAGACUUCGCUAGGAGCCCUGCUACUACAGGUAAAUAUCACACAUGCCCAAUUCGUGCGAUAAUUGUCUAUUUAUAACGCUACCUAUCUCGAUGGAGAGCGUAGUUAGUGGGCACUGCGCAUGCACAAUUACGCUCAGUAUGAGCUACAACGCGCGACUGCUUUGCACUUUCAUGCUGUAUCUCAUGUUGACCGUGAUAGUACAUCGAAAUUAUAAUGAAAAAAAAAGUGAAUCCCACGCACUGGGAGAAUAUAUGUAAUAUGUAAGCGAAGCUUUGUCUGCUGUUUGCGUUAAUUCGCGAUUUAGCGUUCAGUUGAAUACUCUAUUCGCGAGUUUGUUAAACGCUACCUUGUGUAGACCACGUGUGCCAGCGUUUGAACGCGUAGUGCAGAUGACACACAGCGAGGCGCUUGCUUUGGCGUUG